rnacentral:sRNA from 1 species
CGAUUCGAAGACAGUCUCUUACACCUCCUCCUCAGAACACUAUUACAUGGGAAGAAUAUAUAUCUGCUGAAAAUGGAAAAGCUCCUCAUCUGGGUAGAGAAUUGGUGUGCAAAGAGAGUAAGAAAACGUUUAAAGCUACGAUAGCCAUGAGCCAGGAAUUUCCCUUAGGGAUAGAGUUAUUAUUGAAUGUUUUAGAAGUAGUAGCUCCCUUCAAGCACUUUAACAAGCUUAGAGAAUUUGUUCAGAUGAAGCUUCCUCCAGGCUUUCCUGUAAAAUUAGGAGUUUCGAUACGAUGAAUUUGAUGGCUCCAUCUUUACUAUACCUGAUGACUACAAGGAAGACCCAAGCCGUUUUCCUGAUCUUUAACUGACAUGGAAAAGGAUGCCGUCUAACCAAGGAAAGAAAAUACAGAGACCCUAGAAGUGGAUCCAAAUAGAAGGGACAAAUGCUUUCAGUGAAGAAAAGGGAAUUACACAUUGAAUCGACACAUCAGUAAUACGAUACAGUGAAAUGGGCCUCUAAUAAGAAUUUCAGCGAGUUUUCUGAUGUGCCAUUUUUGUCUUUUUAAAAAUAUACAUAUUAUAAAUGUAAUAGUUUGACACAUUAAUGACCCUAAGACCUUCGUAUGUGAAGCAGCUAUGAGUGCUGUGAUUUGUUUUUAAAAAUUUUUACACUUCUUGUUGAAAUAUAUAUGCAUAUAAAUAUAUCUAUAUCUAUAUCUAAAACACUCCUGGACCAUUAACGUAAAUUAAAUGUCUUAAGAGAUAUGGAGCCCUUUUAAACUUGUCAUCUUUAUGCAAGG